GACGAACGCUGGCGGCGUGCUUAACACAUGCAAGUCGAACGGAAAGGCCCUGCUUUUGUGGGGUGCUCGAGUGGCGAACGGGUGAGUAACACGUGAGUAACCUGCCCUUGACUUUGGGAUAACUUCAGGAAACUGGGGCUAAUACCGGAUAGGAGCUCCUGCUGCAUGGUGGGGGUUGGAAAGUUUCGGCGGGUGGGGAUGGACUCGCGGCUUAUCAGCUUGUUGGUGGGGUAGUGGCUUACCAAGGCUUUGACGGGUAGCCGGCCUGGGAGGGUGACCGGCCACAUGGGGACUGCGGUACGGCCCAGACUCCUACGGGGGGCAGCAGUGGGGAAUAUUGCACAAUGGGCGGAAGCCUGAUGCAGCAACGCCGCGUGCGGGAUGACGGCCUUCGGGUUGUAAACCGCUUUCGCCUGUGACGAAGCGUGAGUGACGGUAAUGGGUAAAGAAGCACCGGCUAACUACGUG
rnacentral:rRNA from 1 species